rnacentral:rRNA from 1 species
GUAGGUGGCAAGCGUUGUCCGGAAUUAUUGGGCGUAAAGCGCGCGCAGGCGGUUCUUUAAGUCUGAUGUGAAAGCCCACGGCUCAACCGUGGAGGGUCAUUGGAAACUGGAGAACUUGAGUACAGAUGAGGAAAGCGGAAUUCCACGUGUAGCGGUGAAAUGCGUAGAGAUGUGGAGGAACACCAGUGGCGAAGGCGGCUUUCUGGUCUGUAACUGACGCUGAGGCGCGAAAGCGUGGGGAGCAAACAGGAUUAGAUACCCUGGUAGUCCACGCCGUAAACGAUGAGUGCUAAGUGUUAGGGGGUUUUCCGCCCCCCUUAGUGCUGCAGCUAACGCAUUAAGCACUCCGCCUGGGAGUACGGCCGCAAGGCUG